GACGAACGCUGGCGGCGUGCUUAACACAUGCAAGUCGAACGGAAAGGCCCUGCUUGCAGGGUACUCGAGUGGCGAACGGGUGAGUAACACGUGGGGGAUCUGCCCUGCACUGCGGGAUAAGCCUGGGAAACUGGGUCUAAUACCGGAGAGGAGCCAUUUUGAGUGUGAUGGUUGGAAAGUUUUUUCGGUUUCGGAUGAGCUCGCGGCCUAUCAGCUUGUUGGUGGGGUAAUGGGCUACCAAGGCGGCGGCGGGUAGCCGGCCUGGGAGGGUGGACGGCCACAUUGGCACUGAGAUACGGCCCCGACUCCUACGGGAGGCAGCAGUGGGGAAUAUUGCACAAUGGGCGCGAGCCUGAUGCAGCGACGCCGCGUGGGGGAUGACGGCCUUCGGGUUGUAAACGCAUUUCGCUAGGGACGAAGCUUUUUGUGACGGUACCUAGAUAAGAAGCACCGGCUAACUACGUG
rnacentral:rRNA from 1 species